rnacentral:rRNA from 1 species
AGUGAACGCUGGCGGUAGGCCUAACACAUGCAAGUCGAACGGCAGCACAGUAAGAGUUUGCUCUUACGGAUGGCGAAUGGCGGACGGGUGAGGAAUACAUCGGAAUCUACUUUUUCGUGGGGGAUCACGUAGGGAAACUUACGCUAAUACCGCAUACGGCCUACGGUUGAAAGCAGGGGAUCUUCGCACCUUGCGCGAUUGAAUGAGCCGAUGUCGGAUUAGCUAGUUGGCGGGGUACAUGCCCACCAAGGCGACGAUCCGUAGCUGGUCUGAGAGGAUGAGCAGCCACACUGGAACGGAGACACGGUCCAGACGCCUACGGGAGGCAGCAGUGGGGAAUAUUGGACAAUGGGCGCAAGCCUGAUCCAGCCAUACCGCGUGGGUGAAGAAGGCCUUCGGGUUGUAAAGCCCUUUUGUUGGGAAAGAAAAGCAGCAGGUUAAUACCCCGCUGUUCUGACGGUACCCAAAGAAUAAGCACCGGCUAACUUCGUG